GUCCGGAGAACUACGUCCCUCUGAGCUCACUUCCGUCGGCUUGAGUCGGAUCGCUGUUCUCUCAGUCGCUCAUCGCUUUUGUUCUCCCAUUUCCAUCCAGCCAUCGCAGCUGAGAAGACGGAGGCGGCCGGUUGGGCAACCAUAAACACGCAAAGUAGCGGACUCGUCUCUCGCAGAAACGCCCGGUAGCCACAUGCAAAGCGCCGUCCGCACAGAGGAUACGCGGCACUCCAUAGCUACAUAACUGGACUACUUGUUUUUUUUUCUAUCAUUGUUGGGGUUUUUCACGCUUUUUGUUGAACCGAAACUGACCCCCCCCCCCCUCUAAACUCAAAAUGGAGAACGACGACAAAUACCUCCCCGAGCUGCUGGCGGAGAAGGACAGCCUGGACUCGUCGUUCACGCACGCCAUGAAACUUUUAAACGCAGAAAUUGAUAGAAUCCAGAAAGGCGAUACUAAAAAGGAGGCAGAAACAUACCUGGACCUUUUCACAACAAAGAACAUCAAACUUAAGGAACGCGUGCUCAUACCUGUCAAACAGUACCCGAAGUUCAAUUUUGUGGGGAAGAUUUUGGGACCUCAGGGCAAUACAAUCAAACGUCUUCAGGAAGAGACUGGAGCCAAGAUUUCUGUGCUUGGCAAAGGAUCCAUGAGAGACAAAUCCAGGGAGGAGGGGCUGAGGAAAGGCGGCGAGCCCAAGUACGCACACUUGUCCAUGGAGCUGCAUGUAUUCAUCGAGGUGUUUGCCCCCGUGCCCGAGGCCUACCUGCGUAUGGCACACGCCAUGGAGGAGGUCAAGAAGUUCCUGUUUCCUGAUAUGAUGGAUGAUAUCUGCCAAGAGCAGUUCAUGGAGAUGAGCUACCUGAACGGGGGCCAGGAGCACGGAGCCCGAGGCCGAGGGGGCAUGCCAGUCAGGGGCCGCGGAGUCCCUCCUGCUGGAGCACACAGGGGUAGGGGAAUGCCUCCUCGCGGUGCUGCUGCCAGGGGAGGUGUGACUCGAGGUGGCCCGGCCAGAGGUGGCACAGUGAGGGGUGCCCCAGGAGGCCGAGGAGGACCUCCUGCAGCACCCACCAGGGGAGCUGCGGCACCCCGAGCCAGACACCCAGCUGCCGGACCUCCCCAGAGGAUGGCGCCUCCACCCCCACACCAGCACACCCCCACUGCAGCCCCUGAGGGCUACGAUGAAUAUGGCUACGAUGAGAGCUACACAGACACGGCCUACGAGUCAUACGACAGCUAUUACAGUCAGCCGCAGGCAGAACCAGAAUACUAUGAUUAUGGACACGGCGAGACCACGGACUCAUAUGAGUCAUAUGGCCAGGAUGACUGGAAUGGGACCCAGCAAUUAGGUCCAGGGAAGGCCCCUCCCCCCUCCAGAGGUGCCAAGACGCCUUACCGGGAGCACCCAUACCGACAGUACUGAAGUGGACUCGCCACCCUUAACGUGUCCCCCUGACUACCGCCUGUCUACCACGGCAGCUCUUGCUUUAAGCAGCCCGACAAAAUAAAAUUCUGAAAUGGCCUUUUUUAAACAACCUUCAGCAGUCAGAUGUAGGUGUUUUCCUUUGUUUCUCAUUCAAAACAGCAUUUUAAAUCUAAAUGAAUGUAUUGACAUCUGAAGACUUUAACCCUACUAAAUGAUGUCUUGAUUGAUUAUCAAAAGAGCACAACUUAUUCUUUCUCUCUCUUUCUAUACUUUUUAAAAAGGACCCAGAGGUAAGACCUCUAAAAUAACCUGGAUAGCUUCCUAAUGUGUAUAGAGUUCUAAAGCAUUGAAUGCCUGGGUAUGUAUAAGACUUUUUCAAUCCUCUUACCUGUGGUCGUAAUCGUUAAUGAGAAUUGCUUUUAUAGCAUCUGAAAAUUAACUGAAUUCAAACCACCAUUCAGGUCUAGGCUUCAUUGUCAUGAAUGACGCUGGCGCGAUGGCUACUUUAGUACAGAGUAAUGGCAGUGCAAUGGAGAGGAUGGUUAUAACCUAGACAACUCCACCGUAAAGGCACAGCCCUCGGUCACUGAGUGCCCGGAGACUGACAGUCUGCUGAAGUGAGACCGUGCACACCUCAGUGAAGCCGUGCACGGGAGCAUCUCGGCAUGAAGAAGGUGGUCAGACGAAGCUCUCAGGGCGCCCUGUUGAAAGGAGCGACCCAACGCCCCAGUUCUUUUCUGGGGGGUUGUGCUGGCUGCCUGCCUGCCUGCCUGCCUGCCUGCCAAGUGACCCACUGGAGCCAGCUGAUUUAGUGCAGGGGGAGAAGAGCUGGCUCAGACUCCCGCUGAACAGGGCUAAGACUGCAGCUGGUCAGUGAAGACAUUCCGCUCAGUGGAAGUCCAGACUAACCAGAGACUGACAAAGAGCUCUCAUUUUAUGUGGACUAUUUUCUACUGUUUCUACAUUUCAUGCCAAUAUUGAAAUACUGUGCGUUAUCCUUGAGUAAUUAUUUUCUAACAUUGAAUACACCCACUUGAAGCCUUUGCUGAUUGCAUGCUACUGUACAGUUUCCGCAGUUCAACCCCCUCUUCCAACAAAUGUAAUUGUUACAGCCUAAUUUACCAUAAAAUGAGUACUCCUAUUAUAGUAAGCUGUGAAAUUGUUUUUAAUUUCUAUUAACCCUUGAAUUAGAUGUGAAAUGACCUUUUACUUUUUGCAAGGCAAGCUGUAUUCACGGAGAAUCGUGUGACAUCUGCAUUUCAAGUAUUUGGUUCUUUUAAACAUUCUGGGCAUUCUGGUAGCGCGCUGUUUAGCAUCCAUGCCUUACUGCUGCGUGAAAUUAGACUCAGUGCCCGAGAGCUAAAGAUGCACAGAGAGUAUGGAUCAGUAUCUCGCCGCGGUCAAGUUCACUGCGAGCUCACACACACACACACGUCGCCACAUCUUGGCACUGCACGGCCUGUGUAGCCCUGAGCAUAUCAAAUGCUAAUGCAGCGGCCUAUUUGCAUGUACUCACAAGUACCGUCCUUGCAAAUGUGCAACACUUUCAUAACUGACGUUGGCCUUUUCUCGGCGGUUCGGCAUCCAAGUAUGAUAAUUCAGGGAGAUGGAGCCAUGGGGAGAGCUGCAUGUGAGAAAGGGACAGAGGGUGAAGACAGACGUUACAGACAUUACUAACUUCCUCCAUCUAUCCAUCUAUCCAUCAUGCCUCUGUUGAUUUGAUUCCCCUCUAUGCCAUUUUCUACCAUUAUCACUGAUGAUAUUACAGCUGCCUGUGGUGCUAAGUUACAUUUAGAGGUCAAAACUGUACUUUCCUGUAUUAAAAACAAAUUUCUCUGCCCUGAUCCACUGGUCAGAGGCAGCAUUAGCCAAGUCAGAGGCUCCAUUUAGUUUAUUGAAAAAGCUAGCGGCUUAGAGGAUAAAACAUUAGAUAUUAGGAUAGAAACCAUCAUUUGAGAUGAAAUGUCAACGGGCCAUAUCCAAAACAGAUCAUUUUUCAGCCGUUAUGUGCUAUUAUAUCUAAAAUAAUGAUUUCUGUGUCUCCUGUAAUCUAAUGAAAGAUAAGUUAUGGUUUGGAGUCCGUCUCCUUUGUUUGAAUCGACGAACUGUCAAGAGCGUAAGGGUGGAAAAGACAGUAAAUGUUAGUGCGCAGUGAUCAAUAAAAGCGGACUUGAAUAUAAGCAAGCCGUGUAUCAGUCAUCUGUGAUGUUUCCUCUUGGCUGCGACACAGUCUGCUGUUUCUGCCCACCUCCAUGGAGUCCACUGGCAUGGUGCGUUCACAUAGCGCUACGUGGGAGAAGAGAUGGAAUAAGGUGAGAGACAGGAGGCCAAGCUGUCUUGUCUUUUUGAGGUGGGGAGGUGGGGAUGGAUGUGUUAAAAUGCUGUGAGUGUGUUAGGGGUGGAGAUACUGUGGGCAGAUAUGGUGGACAGCUGGAUUGCAUCUUCUAGUCCUGACGGAUUCACACCAUCGGAGGAACAGUGCAUGCUGAUGCCUCUGAAGACGCUGACAAUCAGCCUCCCCC